AUGCUCAACCAUUGUACGCAUCCAAAACUGUCAGACUUGAGUGCAGGAGAGGAGAGUGGAAUUCCAUGUGUAGCGGUGAAAUGCGUAGAUAUAUGGAGGAACACCAGUGGCGAAGGCGGCUCUCUGGCCUGUAACUGACGCUGAGGCUCGAAAGCGUGGGGAGCGAACAGGAUUAGAUACCCUGGUAGUCCACGCCGUAAACGAUGAGUGCUAAGUGUUGGAGGGUUUCCACCCUUCAGUGCUGCAGCAAACGCAUUAAGCACUCCGCCUGGGGAGUACGACCGCAAGGUUGAAACUCAAAGGAAUUGACGGGGGCCCGCACAAGCGGUGGAGCAUGUGGUUUAAUUCGAAGCAACGCGAAGAACCUUACCAGGUCUUGACAUCCUUCUGACCGCACUAGAGAUAGUGUUUCUCUUCGGAGCAGAAGUGACAGGUGGUGCAUGGUUGUCGUCAGCUCGUGUCGUGAGAUGUUGGGUUAAGUCCCGCAACGAGCGCAACCCUUAUGUUUAGUUACCAUCAUUGAGUUGGGGACUCUAGACAGACUGCCGGUGACAAACCGGAGGAAGGUGGGGAUGACGUCAAAUCAUCAUGCCCCUUAUGACCUGGGCUACACACGUGCUACAAUGGGGAGUACAACGAGCAGCGAACUAGUGAUAGUAAGCGAAUCUCUGAAAGCUCCUCUCAGUUCGGAUUGUAGGCUGCAACUCGCCUACAUGAAGCCGGAAUCGCUAGUAAUCGCGGAUCAGCACGCCGCGGUGAAUACGUUCCCGGGCCUUGUACACACCGCCCGUCACACCACGAGAGUUUGUAACACCCGAAGUCGGUGAGGUAACCUUUUAGGAGCCAGCCGCCG
rnacentral:rRNA from 1 species